GCCCUUAUCGUCUAGAGGCCUAGGACGCCAGGUUCUCAUCCUGGUAACUCGGGUUCGAAUCCCGAUGAGGGCG
rnacentral:tRNA from 1 species